rnacentral:rRNA from 1 species
CAGUCGCCACGGGAAUACGUAGGUGGCAAGCGUUGUCCGGAAUUAUUGGGCGUAAAGGGCUCGCAGGCGGUUUCUUAAGUCUGAUGUGAAAGCCCCCGGCUCAACCGGGGAGGGUCAUUGGAAACUGGGAAACUUGAGUGCAGAAGAGGAGAGUGGAAUCCCACGUGUAGCGGUGAAAUGCGUAGAGAUGUGGAGGAACACCAGUGGCGAAGGCGACUCUCUGGUCUGUAACUGACGCUGAGGAGCGAAAGCGUGGGGAGCGAACAGGAUUAGAUACCCGUGUAGUCCCUGUCUCUUAUAA